rnacentral:rRNA from 1 species
GACGUAGGUGGCGAACGUUAUCCGGAAUCAUUGGGCGUAAAGGGUGCGUAGAUGGCAUGAUAAGUUAUUAGUGGGAAACCGAGGCUCAACCUCGUGGAAGCUAGUAAUACUGUUUUGCUUGAGUGCAGAAGAGGUUAACGGAACUCCAUGUGGAGCGGUAAAAUGCGUAGAUAUCGUUUGGAACGCCAACGGUGAAAACAGGCAACUGGGGAUGUGCUGACGCUGAGACACGAAAGCCAGGGGAGCAAACGGG